rnacentral:rRNA from 2 species
GAAUGCUGACAUAAGUAACGAUAAAGCGGGUGAAAAGCCCGCUCGCCGGAAGACCAAGGGUUCCUGUCCAACGUUAAUCGGGGCAGGGUGAGUCGACCCCUAAGGCGAGGCCGAAAGGCGUAGUCGAUGGGAAACGGGUUAAUAUUCCCGUACUUGGUGUUACUGCGAAGGGGGGACGGAGAAGGCUAUGUUGGCCGGGCGACGGUUGUCCCGGUUUAAGCGUGUAGGUGUGUGUUCCAGGUAAAUCCGGUUCACUUUAACACUGAGGCGUGACGACGAGGCACUACGGUGCUGAAGCAACAAAUGCCCUGCUUCCAGGAAAAGCCUCUAAGCAUCAGGUAACAUCAAAUCGUACCCCAAACCGACACAGGUGGUCAGGUAGAGAAUACCAAGGCGCUUGAGAGAACUCGGGUGAAGGAACUAGGCAAAAUGGUGCCGUAACUUCGGGAGAAGGCACGCUGACACGUAGGUGAAGUGAUUUACUCAUGGAGCUGAAGUCAGUCGAAGAUACCAGCUGGCUGCAACUGUUUAUUAAAAACACAGCACUGUGCAAACACGAAAGUGGACGUAUACGGUGUGACGCCUGCCCGGUGCCGGAAGGUUAAUUGAUGGGGUCAGCGCAAGCGAAGCUCCUGAUCGAAGCCCCGGUAAACGGCGGCCGUAACUAUAACGGUCCUAAGGUAGCGAAAUUCCUUGUCGGGUAAGUUCCGACCUGCACGAAUGGCGUAAUGAUGGCCAGGCUGUCUCCACCCGAGACUCAGUGAAAUUGAACUCGCUGUGAAGAUGCAGUGUACCCGCGGCAAGACGGAAAGACCCCGUGAACCUUUACUAUAGCUUGACACUGAACAUUGAGCCUUGAUGUGUAGGAUAGGUGGGAGGCUUUGAAGUGUGGACGCCAGUCUGCAUGGAGCCGACCUUGAAAUACCACCCUUUAAUGUUUGAUGUUCUAACGUGGACCCGUGAUCCGGGUUGCGGACAGUGUCUGGUGGGUAGUUUGACUGGGGCGGUCUCCUCCUAAAGAGUAACGGAGGAGCACGAAGGUUGGCUAAUCCUGGUCGGACAUCAGGAGGUUAGUGCAAUGGCAUAAGCCAGCUUGACUGCGAGCGUGACGGCGCGAGCAGGUGCGAAAGCAGGUCAUAGUGAUCCGGUGGUUCUGAAUGGAAGGGCCAUCGCUCAACGGAUAAAAGGUACUCCGGGGAUAACAGGCUGAUACCGCCCAAGAGUUCAUAUCGACGGCGGUGUUUGGCACCUCGAUGUCGGCUCAUCACAUCCUGGGGCUGAAGUAGGUCCCAAGGGUAUGGCUGUUCGCCAUUUAAAGUGGUACGCGAGCUGGGUUUAGAACGUCGUGAGACAGUUCGGUCCCUAUCUGCCGUGGGCGCUGGAGAACUGAGGGGGGCUGCUCCUAGUACGAGAGGACCGGAGUGGACGCAUCACUGGUGUUCGGGUUGUCAUGCCAAUGGCACUGCCCGGUAGCUAAAUGCGGAAGAGAUAAGUGCUGAAAGCAUCUAAGCACGAAACUUGCCCCGAGAUGAGUUCUCCCUGAGACUUAGAGUCUCCUGAAGGAACGUUGAAGACGACGACGUUGAUAGGCCGGGUGUGUAAGCGCAGCGAUGCGUUGAGCUAACCGGUACUAAUGAACCGUGAGGCUUAACCUUACAAC